rnacentral:rRNA from 1 species
UACCAGCACCCCGAGUGGUCGGGACGAUUAUUGGGCCUAAAGCAUCCGUAGCCGGUUCUACAAGUCUUCCGUUAAAUCCACCUGCUUAACAGAUGGGCUGCGGAGGAUACUAUAGAGCUAGGAGGCGGGAGAGGCAAGCGGUACUUAGUGGGUAGGGGUAAAAUCCGUUGAUCCAUUGAAGACCACCAGUGGCGUAGGCGGCUUGCCAGAACGCACUCGACGGUGAGGGAUGAAAGCUGGGGGAGCAAACCGG